rnacentral:misc_RNA from 1 species
GAUGAAGAACGCAGCGAAAUGCGAUAAGUAAUGUGAAUUGCAGAAUUCAGUGAAUCAUCGAAUCUUUGAACGCACAUUGCGCCCGCCAGUAUUCUGGCGGGCAUGCCUGUUCGAGCGUCAUUUCAACCAUCAAGCCCCCGGCUUGUGUUGGGGACCUGCGGCUGCCGCAGGCCCUGAAAAGCAGUGGCGGACUCGCUGUCACACCGAGCGUAGUAGCAUACAUCUCGCUCUGGGCGUGCUGCGGGUUCCGGCCGUUAAACCACCUUCAUAACCCAAGGUUGACCUCGGAUCAGGUAGGAAGACCCGCUGAACUUAAGCAUAUCAAUAAGCGGAGGA